GCCCGAGGGGGCAGGACAGGGACAGUUGAGGGUCGCGGGGUCCUAGCGCCUGAUACUGCUAUGGGCGUAGAAGCCGUCCCAGGAGUCCUGACAUUGGCUAGCCAGAGCUCGUCGCGUCUGCCUGAGCGGCCGCUCCUCUACCAAGAGCACUCAGAUUCCCCAAGAAACCCCCUGAGGGGUUAGCAACCACCUCUGGCACGGGUGUACGUCUAUAGCUUUUCUAUGAUGGCUCUGAAUAAUAGGAGUCAUGUGGCUGGAGGUGUCCUUUGUCAAGAUUAUUCUGGCAGCCACCUGCAUGUUGGAUGGAGGGUAAGGCUAGGUUGUAACCUAACAAUGGGAUGGAGGGCUCAGACUGGGCCAGUGGCUAAGAAUAGAAAUGGACACACCUCAGAGAUAUUGAAAGGGAAACAUGCUGGUGACUAGUGAUUAGUGUGUUUGUGAGAGCAGCAAUGAUUGUGUGUGUGUGUGUGUGUG